CGGACACUACAGGUGCAGCGGGAGACGUCGGAGGUGCCGAUUCGUCCAGCGGUGUGGUCCAGGCGACGAUCUGCCCCGGCUGCAUGGUGCCUUGGAGCAGCGACGGCCCGCAUCGGAUCUGUUGCAUUCCCUGUGGCCAUGUGUAUGGCAGAUCAUGUCUGGAGAAGUUGUUGUGUCGUUCUGGCGAGGAGAGUGCCAAGUGCCCUCAGUGUGGCAAAGGAUUUGUGGAGAAGCUUAUUAUCAACCUCUACGCACCAGAAAACAUGUUGGAGGGUUGCUGCAGUCCGGAAGUCCAGUUUCUUUCAUCCAUUUUACAUCUCCAUA